rnacentral:rRNA from 1 species
AUUAGACGAAUCAUCUGGAAAGAUGAAUCAAAGAAGGUAAUAAUCCUGUAGUCGAAAAUGUUGUCUCUCUUGAGUGGAUCCUGAGUACGACGGAGCACGUGAAAUUCCGUCGGAAUCUGGGAGGACCAUCUCCUAAGGCUAAAUACUCUCUAGUGACCGAUAGUGAACCAGUACCGUGAGGGAAAGGUGAAAAGCACCCCGGAAGGGGAGUGAAAUAGAACCUGAAACCGUGUGCUUACAAGUAGUCAGAGCCCGUUAAUGGGUGAUGGCGUGCCUUUUGUAGAAUGAACCGGCGAGUUACGAUUUGAUGCAAGGUUAAGCAGUAAAUGUGGAGCCGUAGCGAAAGCGAGUCUGAAUAGGGCGUUUAGUAUUUGGUCGUAGACCCGAAACCAGGUGAUCUACCCUUGGUCAGGUUGAAGUUCAGGUAACACUGAAUGGAGGACCGAACCGACUUACGUUGAAAAGUGAGCGGAUGAACUGAGGGUAGCGGAGAAAUUCCAAUCGAACCUGGAGAUAGCUGGUUCUCUCCGAAAUAGCUUUAGGGCUAGCCUCAAGUGAUGAUUAUUGGAGGUAGAGCACUGUUUGGACGAGGGGCCCCUCUCGGGUUACCGAAUUCAGACAAACUCCGAAUGCCAAUUAAUUUAACUUGGGAGUCAGAACAUGGGUGAUAAGGUCCGUGUUCGAAAGGGAAACAGCCCAGACCACCAGCUAAGGUCCCAAAAUAUAUGUUAAGUGGAAAAGGAUGUGGCGUUGCCCAGACAACUAGGAUGUUGGCUUAGAAGCAGCCAUCAUUUAAAGAGUGCGUAAUAGCUCACUAGUCGAGUGACACUGCGCCGAAAAUGUACCGGGGCUAAACAUAUUACCGAAGCUGUGGAUUGUCCUUUGGACAAUGGUAGGAGAGCGUUCUAAGGGCGUUGAAGCAUGAUCGUAAGGACAUGUGGAGCGCUUAGAAGUGAGAAUGCCGGUGUGAGUAGCGAAAGACGGGUGAGAAUCCCGUCCACCGAUUGACUAAGGUUUCCAGAGGAAGGCUCGUCCGCUCUGGGUUAGUCGGGUCCUAAGCUGAGGCCGACAGGCGUAGGCGAUGGAUAACAGGUUGAUAUUCCUGUACCACCUAUAAUCGUUUUAAUCGAUGGGGGGACGCAGUAGGAUAGGCGAAGCGUG